rnacentral:rRNA from 1 species
CCCUUAGAUGUUCUGGGCCGCACGCGCGCUACACUGAGUGUCUGAGAUACGAGUCUGCCUAGUCCGGCAAGGUCUAGGUAAUCGCUAAAAGACACAUCAUGCUUGGGAUAGAUUAUUGCAAAUAUUAAUCUUGAACGAGGAAUUCCUAGUAAGCGCAAGUCAACAGCUUGCGUUGAUUACGUCCCUGCCCUUUGUACACACCGCCCGUCGCUACUACUGAUUGGAUGUUUAAGCGAGGUUCUCGAACUGCUAGCGACUUAGCUUCGGUGAGGUCGCAGCGUGGGAAGUGAACCUAGCUUUGGUGUCUAGAGGAAGUAAAAGUCGUAACA